rnacentral:rRNA from 1 species
GAUGAACGCUGGCGGCGUGCCUAAUACAUGCAAGUCGAGCGAACGGACGAGAAGCUUGCUUCUCUGAUGUUAGCGGCGGACGGGUGAGUAACACGUGGAUAACCUACCUAUAAGACUGGGAUAACUUCGGGAAACCGGAGCUAAUACCGGAUGAUAUUUUGAACCGCAUGGUUCAAAAGUGAAAGACGGUCUUGCUGUCACUUAUAGAUGGAUCCGCGCUGCAUUAGCUAGUUGGUAAGGCAACGGCUUACCAAGGCAACGAUGCAUAGCCGACCUGAGAGGGUGAUCGGCCACACUGGAACUGAGACACGGUCCAGACUCCUACGGGAGGCAGCAGUAGGGAAUCUUCCGCAAUGGGCGAAAGCCUGACGGAGCAACGCCGCGUGAGUGAUGAAGGUCUUCGGAUCGUAAAACUCUGUUAUUAGGGAAGAACAUAUGUGUAAGUAACUGUGCACAUCUUGACGGUACCUAAUCAGAAAGCCACGGCUAACUACGUG